rnacentral:tRNA from 4 species
GCGGGAAUAGCUCAGUUGGUAGAGUACAACCUUGCCAUGGUUGGGGUCGCGAGUUCGAAUCUCGUUUCCCGCU